GAUGAACGCUAGCUACAGGCUUAACACAUGCAAGUCGAGGGGCAGCGGGAUUGAAGCUUGCUUCAAUUGCCGGCGACCGGCGCACGGGUGAGUAACGCGUAUCCAACCUUCCGUACACUCAGGGAUAGCCUUUCGAAAGAAAGAUUAAUACCUGAUGGUAUGAUGAGAUUGCAUGAUAUCAUCAUUAAAGAUUUAUCGGUGUACGAUGGGGAUGCGUUCCAUUAGGUAGUAGGCGGGGUAACGGCCCACCUAGCCAACGAUGGAUAGGGGUUCUGAGAGGAAGGUCCCCCACAUUGGAACUGAGACACGGUCCAAACUCCUACGGGAGGCAGCAGUGAGGAAUAUUGGUCAAUGGACGAGAGUCUGAACCAGCCAAGUAGCGUGAAGGAUGAAGGUCCUACGGAUUGUAAACUUCUUUUAUAAGGGAAUAAACCCUCCCACGUGUGGGAGCUUGUAUGUACCUUAUGAAUAGGCAUCGGCUAACUCCGUG
rnacentral:rRNA from 1 species